rnacentral:misc_RNA from 1 species
CCAUGACGCCCGCCCUCACAGCCCUGCUCUGCCUUGGGCUGAGUCUGGGCCCCAGGACCCGCGUGCAGGCAGGGCCCUUCCCCAAACCCACCCUCUGGGCUGAGCCAGGCUCUGUGAUCAGCUGGGGGAGCCCCGUGACCAUCUGGUGUCAGGGGAGCCUGGAGGCCCAGGAGUACCGACUGGAUAAAGAGGGAAGCCCAGAGCCCUUGGACAGAAAUAACCCACUGGAACCCAAGAACAAGGCCAGAUUCUCCAUCCCAUCCAUGACAGAGCACCAUGCGGGGAGAUACCGCUGCCACUAUUACAGCUCUGCAGGCUGGUCAGAGCCCAGCGACCCCCUGGAGCUGGUGAUGACAGGAUUCUACAACAAACCCACCCUCUCAGCCCUGCCCAGCCCUGUGGUGGCCUCAGGGGGGAAUAUGACCCUCCGAUGUGGCUCACAGAAGGGAUAUCACCAUUUUGUUCUGAUGAAGGAAGGAGAACACCAGCUCCCCCGGACCCUGGACUCACAGCAGCUCCACAGUGGGGGGUUCCAGGCCCUGUUCCCUGUGGGCCCCGUGAACCCCAGCCACAGGCGUGUCUAGGAAGCCCUCCCUCCUGACCCUGCAGGGCCCUGUCCUGGCCCCUGGGCAGAGCCUGACCCUCCAGUGUGGCUCUGAUGUCGGCUACGACAGAUUUGUUCUGUAUAAGGAGGGGGAACGUGACUUCCUCCAGCGCCCUGGCCAGCAGCCCCAGGCUGGGCUCUCCCAGGCCAACUUCACCCUGGGCCCUGUGAGCCCCUCCCACGGGGGCCAGUACAGGUGCUAUGGUGCACACAACCUCUCCUCCGAGUGGUCGGCCCCCAGCGACCCCCUGAACAUCCUGAUGGCAGGACAGAUCUAUGACACCGUCUCCCUGUCAGCACAGCCGGGCCCCACAGUGGCCUCAGGAGAGAACGUGACCCUGCUGUGUCAGUCAUGGUGGCAGUUUGACACUUUCCUUCUGACCAAAGAAGGGGCAGCCCAUCCCCCACUGCGUCUGAGAUCAAUGUACGGAGCUCAUAAGUACCAGGCUGAAUUCCCCAUGAGUCCUGUGACCUCAGCCCACGCGGGGACCUACAGGUGCUACGGCUCAUACAGCUCCAACCCCCACCUGCUGUCUUUCCCCAGUGAGCCCCUGGAACUCAUGGUCUCAGGACACUCUGGAGGCUCCAGCCUCCCACCCACAGGGCCGCCCUCCACACCUGGUCUGGGAAGAUACCUGGAGGUUUUGAUUGGGGUCUCGGUGGCCUUCGUCCUGCUGCUCUUCCUCCUCCUCUUCCUCCUCCUCCGACGUCAGCGUCACAGCAAACACAGGACAUCUGACCAGAGAAAGACUGAUUUCCAGCGUCCUGCAGGGGCUGCGGAGACAGAGCCCAAGGACAGGGGCCUGCUGAGGAGGUCCAGCCCAGCUGCUGACGUCCAGGAAGAAAACCUCUAGCCCACACGAUGAAGACCCCCAGGCAGUGACGUAUGCCCCGGUGAAACACUCCAGUCCUAGGAGAGAAAUGGCCUCUCCUCCCUCCUCACUGUCUGGGGAAUUCCUGGACACAAAGGACAGACAGGUGGAAGAGGACAGGCAGAUGGACACUGAGGCUGCUGCAUCUGAAGCCUCCCAGGAUGUGACCUACGCCCAGCUGCACAGCUUGACCCUUAGACGGAAGGCAACUGAGCCUCCUCCAUCCCAGGAAGGGGAACCUCCAGCUGAGCCCAGCAUCUACGCCACUCUGGCCAUCCACUAGCCCGGGGGGUACGCAGACCCCACACUCAGCAGAAGGAGACUCAGGACUGCUGAAGGCACGGGAGCUGCCCCCAGUGGACACCAGUGAACCCCAGUCAGCCUGGACCCCUAACACAGACCAUGAGGAGACGCUGGGAACUUGUGGGACUCACCUGACUCAAAGAUG